rnacentral:tRNA from 14 species
AGCGGGGUAGAGGAAUUGGUUUACUCAUCAGGCUCAUGACCUGAAGACUGCAGGUUCGAAUCCUGUCCCCGCCU